ensembl:snRNA U2 U2 spliceosomal RNA
AUCGCUUCUCGGCCUUUUGGCUAAGAUCAAGUGUAGAAAGUUCAGGACAUCUGCUCUCACUCAAAAAGUAACCAUUGGAACAUACAUAAAGACCUGAUGAAGGGCCUUCUGCAUCAUAAAAUUCAAUCAUUUAAUUCAUCAUUAUUAUGUAAUAUUAGGGCAAAUCUAUCAAGCCUUUUGCCUUAUUUUGCUAAU